CUACAACUCCCGGCGUGCAUCGCCCCGGACCCGCCGGUAAGAGUUGGUGCCCUCUGGCGGACGGGAGGGAAAUCGCGAGGCCCCGGCGUGAAGGGGCGGCGGGACGGGCCAGGGGACAGCGGGACGGGCCAGGGGACAGCGGGACGGGCCAGGGGACAGCGGGACGGGCGGCAGGAAGGAGCAGGAGACAGGAGACAGGGGGCACGUAAACGGUAAACGGCAGGGGCACAGCUGGGUCCCUGGGGGCUCGGGAUCGGCCCGCUGCCCUUCCGACGGGACCAACAGCAGGGAAACGCCCAUCUGUAAAUGCUGAGACCCCCGAGCGAGUGUCUCACCUGAGCAAGCCUAGAACUGGUGCCUGGAGGCGAAGGCUCUGGCAAUGAGAUCCUCGGGAUCAUGGGGUGCUUGGAUGGUGUCUCCUCGGCCCAGGGAACAUUCCCAACACUGUCCUGGAGGCUCUCUCACCUGAGAUGGAAAAGCACGUGAAAAUUCCUCUGGCAUGAGGUCAGGCAGGAGUCCUGGAGUCCUCUCCCAAGGGAAGCAAAGCAAGAUUCCUGUCUGAGACACCAGGACAAAGCCACUCAAGAGCUACCUGUCUUCUCCAAGUCAGGUUUCACUUGGGAAAACUCCCUCAGCCUCCCUUUUCUGCCUCCUGUCUGUGUCCCUCUGGGCUGCCAUCUCCUCCAACGCCCUCCUGGUGAAGGUGUCACCCCUUUGGAUGUUCAGGAGAUCACCUCCCAUCCUAUCAGACAGAUUUGCUUUCUGUGAGAUCCACAAGGUCUCUGCAGUUCCUAGGAGGGUUUAAACAGGGUGGUGACAUGACAGAUGUCACAAGAGCAGAGCUGGAGAAGGCGGCAAUUCCCGACAAGCUUCUGGAGCUGGGGAGGGCACAGCAUUGGCACCCCAGUCCAGGCUUCCCUCCCGCACCCCGUCAGGGUCUGCUUUAGCCACCAGUGUGUUAACAGCACCCAGGACUGGAAAACAAGCCUGGGACUGUGGAUUGCAGAAUAAAUACAAAAAUAAACCCAC